UACGAGGGGGGCAAGCGUUGUUCGGAAUUACUGGGCGUAAAGGGCUCGUAGGCGGCCAACUAAGUCGGAUGUGAAAUCCCCAGGCUUAACCUGGGAACUGCAUCUGAUACUGGAUGGCUUGAAUCCGGGAGAGGGAUGCAGAAUUCCAGGUGUAGCGGUGAAAUGCGUUGAUAUCCAUAGGAACUCCGGUGGCGAAGGCGGCGUGCUGGACCUCUUCUGACGCUGAUGCGCGAAAGCCAGGGGAGCGAACGGG
rnacentral:rRNA from 1 species